rnacentral:ncRNA from 1 species
AAUAAAUUUUUAUAGUUUAUAAAUUUUAUUUUAAAUUUAUUUUAUAUAUAAAUUUUAGUAUAAAUUAUAUUAUUUAAAGAAUUUUAUUUAAUGUAGUAAAUAAUAUUAAAAAUUUAAGAAAUUAAGAUUUAGUAAUAUUAGAAUUAAUAACAAAUUUUGUGCCAGCAGUUGCGGUUAUACAAAAAUUAAAAUGAAAUUUAUUAGAUAAUUAAUUAUUAUAAUUGUUUAAUUAAUAAGAUAUUAAAUUAUUAAGUGAAAUUUUAAUUUAGUUAAAAUUAUGUUUAGUUUUAAGAUUUAAUAAAUUUUAAAAUUAAACUAGGAUUAGAUACCCUAUUAUAAAAAAUUUAAAUUAAAAUGCUAAAAUAUUAGAUAUUAUUUAUUGAAACUUAAAUAAUUUGGCGGUAUCUUAGUUUAUUUAGGGGAAUCUGUUUAUUAAUUGAUAAUACACGAAAAAAUUUACUUAAUUUUGAAUUUUGUAUAUCGUUGUUAGAAAAAUAUUUAUAAAUAAAAAUAAUAUUUAAAAAUAAUGAUUAAAAUUUAAAUCAGAUCAAGAUGCAGAUUAUAGUUAAGAAUAUAAUGGAUUACAAUAAAGUUAUUUAAAUGAAUAUUAAUAUGUAAAAUUAAUUGAAGGUGGAUUUAAAUGUAAUUUUAUUUAGUUUAAUAAAAUGAUUAAAAAUUAAGAUAUGUACAUAUUGCCCGUCGCUUUCAUUUAUAAAUUGGAAUAAGUCGUAACAAAGUAGAGGUACUGGAAAGUGUUUCUAGAAAUAC